CUAACCGCAGUAUAUAAAUGAUGCUGAAGCUCACUGACGGUUUUUUAGGUUCCGCCAUCUUCCUGUCUAGCUGGGUGUGGAGGACUAGAAGUCCGGAGUCGCUGGCCAUAUGCUGGAGGCUAGAGCCGCGGGAGCGCAGCUCGCCUCGCUGCGGUUGUUAGAGGCUAGAGGCACGGGAGCGCAGCUCACCUCACUGUAGUUGUUGGCAGCGACGGAGACAGCGCGGCUGGAGAGGCACAUUUAUUGAAGUGCAGCAAACUAAAAAGUACACAGAUCGUGAAUGCCUAGCUCUACGUAUUUUUCCAAGCUAUGAAUGAGAGUUUCUAUUGUUCUAUGUACUUGCCAGCAUGUGAUUACAGCCUUCUGGAUUUUGGCCAUUCUAAUAGAGAAAACAUGUCUAAAUGAAGAGCUGGAGGAACCACGAAUAUAGUCUACAGAGAGCAUUAUCCUCAACACAAAAUGCCUACACUGUGGUUAUCAAUAAUUGAAAUUAUACUUGAGGCAGCCAUGCUCUGUCACACAAGAGUUGAAGCCAUGCCCUGUCACAUGGAGCCAUGCCCUAUCACUCAGGAGUUCACUCAUCAUGGAGCCAUGCCCUGUCACAUAAAAGUUCACUCAUCACAAAGAAAAUAUGGAGGCUCUGUGCCACACAGGCCCACAGAGCACUAGACUGACAUAAGCUUCACCUUCUUAUACCUGUAGAAUCUGGAACAACUAGAACUAUAUAUUAGAAGAGACAACUGAAAAGGUGUGUGCUAGAUUAUUUUUACUUUGGCUAGUAAGUAAUAAACAUUAUUUCUGUGCAUAGCUCCUUGUCAAAAUUUAACACAUUAUGACCUCCAAGUAGUCACGUAAAUGUUAGAAGAUAUGAGUGAGCUUGUGAAUAUUUGUUGACCAUUCUAUUACUAACACACAAACAUCAAGAAGAAAGAGGUGGCACUAGAUGUAGCAGGUCCCGCCAGUUAUAACACCUUGUGAUCUUAGAUUUUCAUAUGUUGUUGCUACCCUUAUUUGUUUAUGAACCCAACAGACUCUGCCACAGGUCCUUAGGUUUUCCGUAUAUGUCUCCAUGCAUUCAGGAUGCAGUUUGCUUGAAUCACACCAAUCUAUCCAUGCAGGUUCUUCUAUUCGCAAAUCCACAUGCACCGUUCUCAACCUGAUUUUUCAGAAACAUGGAUUUGUGUUGUUGUCUUUCACUGUGCUAUCUCCAUCUUUAGAAUAAAAUGUCUUAAGUUCUGGACAAUAAUACAUCACUAAAUUGUAAGAAUAAAAAGUAUUUGUGGUAGAAAUUAGACAAUCACUUCAUUGGCAUGUGACUACAAAGACCAAUGUUCUUUUCUUGACUCUAUUUAUUCUUCAUAAAAUUUUGCUGGAAUAUAAGGUAAAAGGGUCUGUGUAACUAAUAAACUUGUUUUUUUUCUAGGGGGAGGUUGAAAUAUUCCCAUAUUCUACCUUUAAUUCGCUUCACGGUAAAUGCUAAUAGUGAGCAGGUCAAAUAAAUUGCAUUUAAUUUUUGUAUUGCCA